UACGUAGGGUGCGAGCGUUGUCCGGAAUUAUUGGGCGUAAAGGGCUCGUAGGUGGCCUGUCGCGUCGGCUGUGAAAACUCGGGGCUCAACUCCGAGCUUGCAGUCGAUACGGGCAGGCUAGAGUUCGGCAGGGGGAGACUGGAAUUCCUGGUGUAGCGGUGAAAUGCGCAGAUAUCAGGAGGAACACCGGUGGCGAAGGCGGGUCUCUGGGCCGAUACUGACACUGAGGAGCGAAAGCGUGGGGAGCGAACAGG
rnacentral:rRNA from 1 species